rnacentral:rRNA from 1 species
UACAGAGGUCUCAAGCGUUGUUCGGAUUCAUUGGGCGUAAAGGGUGCGUAGGCGGCGCGGUAAGUCGGGUGUGAAAUCUCGGAGCUUAACUCCGAAACUGCAUUCGAUACUGCCGUGCUUGAGGACUGGAGAGGAGACUGGAAUUUACGGUGUAGCGGUGAAAUGCGUAGAUAUCGUAAGGAAGACCAGUGGCGAAGGCGGGUCUCUGGACAGUUCCUGACACUGAGACACGAAGGCUAGGGGAGCAAACGGG